rnacentral:rRNA from 1 species
GAGUUUGAUUAUGGCUCAGGACGAACGCUGGCGGCGUGCCUAAUACAUGCAAGUAGAACGCUGAAGGAAUAGCUUGCUAUUCUGGAAGAGUUGCGAACGGGUGAGUAACGCGUAGGUAACCUACCUCAUAGCGGGGGAUAACUAUUGGAAACGAUAGCUAAUACCGCAUAAGAAUACUUAUUGCAUGAUAAGUAUUUAAAAGGAACAACUGUUUCACUGUGAGAUGGACCUGCGUUGUAUUAGCUAGUUGGUAAGGUAACGGCUUACCAAGGCGACGAUACAUAGCCGACCUGAGAGGGUGAUCGGCCACACUGGGACUGAGACACGGCCCAGACUCCUACGGGAGGCAGCAGUAGGGAAUCUUCGGCAAUGGGGGCAACCCUGACCGAGCAACGCCGCGUGAGUGAAGAAGGUUUUCGGAUCGUAAAGCUCUGUUGUCAGCCAAGAAUGUAUGUGAGAGUGGA